rnacentral:tRNA from 1 species
GCCGUUGUAGCUCAGUCGGUAGAGCAAAGGACUGAAAAUCCUUGUGUCCCUGGUUCGAUUCCUGGCGACGGCA